CCUACGGGAGGCAGCAGUAGGGAAUCUUCCACAAUGGGCGCAAGCCUGAUGGAGCAACACCGCGUGAGUGAAGAAGGGUUUCGGCUCGUAAAGCUCUGUUGUUGGAGAAGAAUGUGCGUGAGAGUAACUGUUCACGCAGUGACGGUAUCCAAACAGAAAGUCACGGCUAACUACGUGCCAGCAGCCGCGGUAAUACGCAGGUGGCAAGCGUUAUCCGGAUUUAUUGGGGGUAAAGCGAGCGCAGGCGGUUGCUUAGGUCUGAUGUGAAAGCCCUCGGCUUAACCCAAGAAGUGCAUCCGAAACCGGGCAACUUGAGUGCAGAAGAGGACAGUGGAACUCCAUGUGUAGCGGUGGAAUGCGUAGAUAUAUGGAAGAACACCAGUGGCGAAGGCGGCUGUCUGGUCUGCAACUGACGCUGAGGCUCGAAAGCCUGGGUAGCGAACAGGAUUAGAUACCCCUGUAGUC
rnacentral:rRNA from 1 species